AAUAACGCGGCUCUGCUCCUUUCCCUCACACUGGUUCUUGAAAAAGGAAGCCGGCUUCCAUCGCUGCUGCAUCCCUCGCGUUCUCUCCAACGGUGAAGCCUGGUGGGAACUGGAGGUCGAGCCUGGAAGGAAGCCGUCCUCAGCACAGACUCGGUGAAGGAAUGAACACAUGAACGGAGAGAGAGAGAAAGCACGAGCAAGGGGAGGGGCAGAAGGAGAGGGAG